UGGGGAAUUUUCCGCAAUGGGCGAAAGCCUGACGGAGCAAUACCGCGUGAGGGAGGAAGGCUUUUGGGUUGUAAACCUCUUUUCUCAAGGAAGAAGAUCUGACGGUACUUGAGGAAUGAGCAUCGGCUAACUCCGUGCCAGCAGCCGCGGUAAUACGGAGGAUGCAAGCGUUAUCCGGAAUGAUUGGGCGUAAAGCGUCUGCAGGUGGCUAUGCAAGUCAGCUGUUAAAGAGUGGGGCUCAACUCCAUAAGGGCAGUGGAAACUGGAUAACUAGAGUACGUUCGGGGUAGAGGGAAUUCCUGGUGUAGCGGUGAAAUGCGUAGAUAUCAGGAAGAACACCGGUGGCGAAAGCGCUCUACUAGGCCGGAACUGACACUGAGGGACGAAAGCUAAGGGAGCGAAUAGGAUUAGAUACCCCCGUAGUCC
rnacentral:rRNA from 1 species